rnacentral:misc_RNA from 1 species
UAAUAAUUUGAGUUUGCCCCCACUUCUGGAUAUGUAUCUUUGCCCACACUUGGAUACACACCUCCAUAAAAACUUUUUUUCUACUUAAUAUCAUCCACUUCCAUAAAAUUAGAUUGUUCAUGCAUUAAAUUUGAAAUACAUUAAUUUGUGCUUGAGUGAAGAGUCACAAAUUAGCUUGAGUGAAGAGUGUAGGUUUGAAAUACUUUAUAAAAAGAUGAUAUCCAAUUUAAAUGAGUUAUCAAAUACAUUAUAAGUCAACUUUUAUUAAAAUAAAUCAUUAAAAAUAAAUCUAAAUCUCAUAUUUCAAAUCAUUUCAUAUAUAUACACACAAACCCGAAUGCCUGCAAAAGAGACAAUGAGAAAGAGGGUACAGAUUUACUUGCAUUUAUAAUGCCUUGCUACCUAAAAUUUCUAGAUCUGUCCCUAUCUAUAAUUGAAAUGGAACCACUGAUAGAAUAAGUGCCCUUCCAGCCAUAAUGCAUGAUACAUGACAUGCUCCAAAAUAUUGAGUUGCAAUGUCAAUUAUUAAUGUCAAGCCCCAUAUGGCACAUGUAAGGGUCUCCCAGUAUGUUGCUAAUAAAGAAACAGCCACAGAAUCCAAGAAGAGGGCAUUCAACCAUCAUCAAAAUGUAAUUAAGAGAUACCGUUUUCAGAUUCAAUCAGUUAACAUCAUCAAGACCUUGCAAAAUAAUGCUUAAUAUGGAAUAAAAGCUUAUUUUCUAUGUUUAUUACUAGACUCUUCUUCCUCUAUGGUGAAUUACUUUCAACACAACUCCUCAUCUGUGCAAUUUAAUAUUUCAUGAUUCAAGCUUGUUCAAGCUAUCAACUUCAAAUUUG